GCCUAAUACAUGCAGUCGAGCGAAGUGGAGGAAGCUUGCUUCCAAAGCUUAGCGGCGGACGGGUGAGUAACACGUGGGCAAUCUGGCUGUAGGACAGGGAUAACCCCGGGAAACCGGAGCUAAUACCGGAUAGAGGUAAAGAUCGCAUGAGCUUUACCGGAAAGAUGGCGCAAGCUAUCACCUGCAGAUGAGCCCGCGGCGCAUUAGCUAGUUGGUGGGGUAACGGCCUACCAAGGCGACGAUGCGUAGCCGACCUGAGAGGGUGAUCGGCCACACUGGGACUGAGACACGGCCCAGACUCCUACGGGAGGCAGCAGUAGGGAAUCUUCCGCAAUGGACGAAAGUCUGACGGAGCAACGCCGCGUGAGUGAUGAAGGUUUUCGGAUUGUAAAACUCUGUCAUUAGGGAAGAACGGCUAUGGUUUAAAGAAGGCCAUAGAGUGACGGUACCUAAAGAGGAAGCCCCGGCUAACUACGUGCCAGCAGCCGCGGUAAUACGUAGGGGGCAAGCGUUGUCCGGAAUUAUUGGGCGUAAAGCGCGCGCAGGCGGUUCUUUAAGUCUGAUGUGAAAGCCCACGGCUCAACCGUGGAGGGUCAUUGGAAACUGGAGGACUUGAGUGCAGGAGAGGAAAGUGGAAUUCCACGUGUACCGGUGAAAUGCGUAUAGAUGUGGAUGAACACCAUUGCCGAAGGCGACUUUCUGGCC
rnacentral:rRNA from 1 species